rnacentral:misc_RNA from 1 species
GUUUGGAUCGGUAAGUUUCUUGUCAAUUGAAUAAAAUAUGUAGGUACGUUUUGAAUGAUCUUAUGAGUUUUGAAUUUAUGCGUAUAGUUGUGCUUGUUUUGUUUACAAUUUGGAAUUUAUUUGGGUUUAGUUUGAUGUUGGAAAUUAUCAUAUUUGAGGGUUUGUUUGCUUGAUGGUCGGAAUAAUUAUUUUUUUUGUAUUUGGUUGGUGAUUAUAAGUGAUUGGCAAACAAAACAAAUCAAAUUCUUAGUGAAGCAUAAUGAAUUGAGGGUAAUUUGGUGGUAAAUGAGAAUUCAAAUGGGUUUCAAAUUUGGGUUUGGUUUAGAUGUUGCCAGCAAUCAUAUGGGUGUUUGUUUACAUCCUUUGCCAAUGAUUUGUUGCUGUGUUGCUCAUAAACGGUGGGAUCCUGUUUCAUUGAGCUUUACAACGGAUUUGGUCCAGAUUUUACAAAUCUUAGAAUGUUGUUACCAGGAGAACUUUCUUUGUUCAUUUGCUGAGAUAAGAUGAAUGGUAAAGAGAUGAUAAAGCCAACUAAGUGAAUGGACAUUUUGACAUUUUU